UUGGUCUGAAACGUCUAAGACAGUGAAUAAGAUAAUUAUGCUGCGGUGAAGAUUCAGUUCAUGUCAAUUUGCCAGAUAAAUGCUAGAGCUUGCCUCAAGUCACAAGAUUCUGGUUUUACACAUGCCAAAGUUCAAGGGGGUUUUACACAUGCCACAGGGCAGCUUCAGGCCCCAUCUUUAAUUAAAACCAAUUUUUUGCUUUCCCUAUUGUGCUAAGCAUUGUCCAAACACAGCGAGAGACAGUCGCAGCCCCAAGAGAUUCCAAUCUAAAUAAGACCAAAUGGACAAAGGAAGCGUUAUCUCUAUUUUACAAACAGGAAAGGAGGCACAAGAAAAAGUCAGGGCCAGGCUUUCAGAAGAGCUCAGCACCUACUGUGCUUGAAAAAUCUGCCUCCGAUGGUGGGUGCCAAGCUAAAUGACUUGUCUAAGGUCACAUAGAAACGUUUGCAGCAGAGUCUGAACUCAAUCCAUGUUUCUCAAGCUCCAGUCUAGUGCCAGACUGUCCCUCCUCUCUUAAGGCAACAUUCUGAUCUUCCUUCUCGUAACACCUCAUCUUCCAACAGUGCUGACGUCGGCCCAAGAACAACAUCAGGAGAGGAUGGAAUCCCAGUCACGCAUUUCUUCUGGGGCAGAAACUAUGUAGAGAGCUUAGCCUGGGUCGCACCAAAGGGAGAGAAUGGCAAAAACAGGGCCCCAGUCCCAAGGCAAAGGCAGCCCUAGGGAGGAGAAGAGGCCCUGGGAACCUGAAGGCCUGUUUGAUAUCAGCCAGAAUGUAACCUCAUCUAUCUUUGUUUUUUAAGGAACUGUCCAGAGAGAUGCGGUGAGGCAACUGACCCAGGGACCCCCUUGAAACAGUGCAAAGAGCAGAAGCAACCCAAAGGUCAUUGAUGCUAUUAGGAAAGGAGAAACAUGAGACUGACCACCCUAAAGAAAAGGAUACAGAAGGGAUAUUACCAGAGGAUUUACAUCCUUACCAUUACUGUUGUGAUGAGGUAAGAUGGAUCCAAGUCGGACAAUUUUCUUAGAAGCUAACUGAGGCCACUUAGCCCCCAGGGUUGGUGAUGAAAAACACAAGGAACUUCCUUCCCCACAAGGAGUCCUGCUGACCCGGGACCAGGUCUGCACCUUGUGUAUCACUCUGCAGAAAACCAAACCCUCAAUUCUUGGCUUGGUCCAAGAAAAUAACUUGGAUGUUCCUUGCCUGUGGAUCCUAAGGCAUGGAUCUGAUCUUUGGACACAGCAGUAACACAAACAUUGACUGUAUUUUUCCUUAGUUUGCUAAGGAGCCCUAACCAUUGAACUAAAUCAUGGAUCAUUUGGGCAGCAAUUAGACAGCAGUUCUGGCAGACAGCAAGUGACACCAAUGUAACAGAAAGAAUUAAACCCACAGCCUUUCAAGGGUGAAGAUACUUUUAUCUUUCAACUCAGUAAAACUGGCCUUUUAAGGCACGUCAGACAUGCACAUUUCUUCGCGCUCAUUGUUUCUUUUAGGGGGAAAAUAUAAGCUUCAGGAUCAUCUUUCAGCCACUGAUUCCCUAAAAAGAAAAGGAGGACUUGUGGCACCUUAGAGACUAACAAAUUUAUUUGAGCCUAAGCUUUCCUCAGCUACAGCUCACUUCCUUGUGGCUGUUGCUUCCCUAGUCGCAUUUUCUGCCUCUCAUCACAAGAGGACGCAGCCUGCUUUCCCAUGGCAUGCCAAGACAGGCGCGACAGGCAGCAAAAGGGGGUCUUGAGCAAAAAAUACCUCCAAUAAUACUACAAGCAAGUUGCCUUUGAAAUGCUGGAUGCUGAUGCAGCCAUCACAUAGAAGUUGGAGCAGGGACUAACAGCUGCCCAGCUACAAGAAAAAAAUCGAAACCUACUUGCAACCUACCAGCUCACCCACAUGGGAUGGAGACAACCUCUGAUUGUUACCUGCUCAUUCUCCAAAAGGUUCUUGUCACUUGUAACAGUGCUGGGACCCCCAUCACCAGUGAAGAUGUACCCUGGAGAUCCUGAUCUCCCAAAGGGUUGGGGCUACUUGGAUCUGGGAUUUUAGUUUGGAUCCUUCUGUGAUAGUAAGAUACUCAUACUGUCAUUUACAAAUAUUUACAUAUUGAUAAGAUCUGUGUUUAAUUUCUUAACAUUACCUUCCUACUGACCUCUCCCCCUACUCAGCCAUCAACAGAUCCCCUUUGCCCUUCUCUGCUUAUUUCUCUGUGGCUAUUCCUUCCUGUCCUAGCUCCUCACAACCCCAACUUCCCUUUUCAGGCAGCUUGUCUCUUCACAAAUGGUAUGGCCAGACCUGAGCCGAAGCCUGUGCAGUCUCUAGGCACAAAUGGGAGAGUUAAGGAGGCACUGAGUUUUGCCAGCUCAACUCAGAAAUGUAUGGUUAUUGGUAUUGCAUUUCAGGUUGGCUUAAUGCUUGGGCUGUAAACUCAAAUUCAUUGCUACUUGUAGUCACUAGAUGUCACUACAGCCUCAUUAACUGUCCUGCUAAUUUUUUUUUUUACUGUUAUCACUACUGCCAUAGCACCAUCUAUUUGAAAUUCACAUUUGUGUCUGAAAUUGUUGUACCUUCGCUAAUUACAGGUAACACUCCUGGUUACCAGAAGUUAGGGAGAAACAAAUUUUCCCUCUCUUUUUCCAGUUUGUUUCCUUUUUUUGUAUUUGAUAGCACUUUUUGUAUAGUCCGUUUCUGUUGUCUCCCUUGUACACUCGGUUAAAGAGUCAAUUUCCCAUGGGUUGAAAUGACCUAUUAUGAUUAGACCUGUUGUGAACGUCAAGAGGAGUGCAGAUCAACUUUUACAAAUAUUUUUUAAAGAAAAAUUCAGGACAUACUAUUUAAAGUCGGCUGGAUUUUUUACAAAAUAAUUUGGAAACGUCAGGUUGGCCACAUCCCUUUAAAGACAGGAAAUAAAUAUAUUAGAAGCCCUUGGCUGGCUCCCUGUUUCUUCUCUCCCUCUCUGUCAUGAUGGUUUAGUGACAUAUGUUCCGGUCCUGCACUGAGCUCUGUAUGGCAACAGGGUCCAUUCAUGUUGCAGAAUCAGGGCCUUAUGCAUUUGCAUAAUUUUACUCAUGUGAGUAGAGUUAUCUUUUUGAUUACCUUUUCUCAUUCUUAAAGCAAAAAAGCAGAAACAGCUGUUCAUUCAUUCUAUAUUUCUUGCAGAGCAUCAGAACUUCACUUUCUGAAUAAUUUACUGUGACUGAGAGAAAAAUAUUAUUGUUCUUACAACGCUUAUAUUGGAUGCAGAUUUGUCUGUGAAUCAGGACUGUGCAUUAAAAAACAUGUUCCCAGCUUUGAAGAGACUGGCUUGCUAAAUAAGGCAGGACAAACAAAAAUGGGACAAAACACAUCUCGCUUUGAACCAUCUCUGGGGAGCAGGUCUUGGCAGAGGAAAAGAGAGACUGUAAUGCUGUAAUAAUAGUAAUGAUAAUUAAUAAUAAUUUUAUUUAUAAAAUAUCCCUGGAGGUGCUCUGGAUGCCGCACAACAAUUUGAAAUACAGUAAAAAACAACAACACUAUAAAUCCAGAUGAAAACACAAAUGAAGCGUCAUUGAAUUAAGGGUGUCCUUUACAGCAGCUGGCAGAAUUUAAAACUGUUUUCAGGUGCUUUUUACAAAUGGAAAGGGAUGUGCUGUAUAAUAUACACCUAUAUCUGAGUCUGCAUAGCUACGUAUAUCUAUAUAUUUCUUUGUGUGUCCAGAGAAAGAUACUAAUACAAGGAAAUUAUAUGUAUAGGCCACCAUUUUCAGAUUGGGAGCUUAAAACUAGGCACCAAAAGCCAUAUUUUGGAUCCAAUCCUGUAAAUACUGACACACUUGUUUAAAUCUACUUGUGUGAGUAAUCCCAUUUCACUUAAUUUAUCUAUUGUCAUGCUUAGAUGUUUUGCUGGUGGGACCAGUGUGCUCAGCACCUUGCAGUAGGGAACCCUGGGAGCAGAAUAAGACAAAUCAUGUUAUUAUUUCUUGACCUAUAUUUCUAGUUAGUACUUUGGGGAAGAUUCUUCCCUGGUGCAAUAUGUCAUAGCCCUGUUUAAAUCAAUUUUCACCAGUCCUGCAAUGAGCUCUGUGCACAUCCAAGGAUCUGACUACAAGGAUCAGGCCUUGGAUUACUAAAAGAGAAGUAAUUUUUCAAGACCAGUUUGGAUGUCAUUGUUCAUGGUUUGUUUCCAUUUUGCAUUUCUGGCAGAUGGACAAUAUAAUUCAAUUACAUUAGUUUCACUUUUAGAGUCUUACUACAACUGUGUUUGUUUUUGAAACACUGCAGGAGAGAAAUAUUUCUUUAAAAAUCAAAUGUUUUCAUUGGAGUUUAUAAAUAAA